CUGUAGACGGGCUCGGCCCAGUAGUCAGUCUAACCCAAUAGAUUGGUCCAGGCCGAACAACUGUCGAUCCAAGAGGGUAAGGCUAGAGUUCUAUCCCUCGUUCUUCCGUCACUGGGAGAGGUGCCGCCGCCGUUCUCUUCCCUUCCCCAACUCCGGCGACCGCCCCUCGCCCCCUCCGUUCGGCAUGAAGGCCUGAUGUAGACUUGCCCCCGUCCGUCGUACCCUUCCCUAAUACUGUCCCAGUGGCGGCGGCCUUGGCCCUUGGCCUCGGCGUGGAUCCAAGAUCGGAAGUGCCGUCAUCGUCGCUCGCCAUGGCGGCGGCAGGAUAAAUGCUAGUUUGAUAUAGCAACUUCCAGCGUCCCCCCUGGUAAGAUGCUCAUGUACCAGUUAGCGAAAUUAUCAAAACAUUUUUAUAGGGAUGUAUGUCUUGUCUGUAGAAUUUGUUUUUGUGUACCUUACUCCUGACAGCACUGAAUUGAACGCCCGAAGAAGCCAAAAUCUCGUCAGUGAAGCCCUCAAUGCGCAGGAAGAGGUUGAUUGAGUUGCAUAAGCUCCUUACAACCCAGGAGAGAUGACAAUAGCAUUGGUCUGCCGUGUUGCGGUAUUAGUUGUUAGCUUAGUUGGAAACAGUAAAGGUGUAGCCGUGUAGGAAAACCUUGUGCCGAGAUCAUUUAUUUUUACCAUAACAUAGUAGAACAAUAUUAUGUACCGUAGAGUUGAGUUGAGGAAUAAGCCACGUGUGUGUAUCAGUGACCUUGUUAGUCGUGAUCAAAUGUUGUUUCUGAAGCUCUACUUCUGAUGUGUGAAGCAGCAAAGAUAAGGUUUAAUCAUGAAAAAACUUCCAUGGUGGAGUUCCCAUUUGA